rnacentral:lncRNA from 1 species
UUGUGUUAAUUGUAUACAUUGUGUUAAUUGUUCGUUACUGACUUAUGAAUAUGUGAAAAUACACUUGAUAUUUGAUGGUUUUCUAUAGUACAACAAAAUAUAUUUUAGAUGAUGCUCUAUUAUAAUAUCUUCAAUAUUUGGUAUGUGCCGAUAUCAUGAUUAAACGUCGCCAAUAAACAUAUUUAUAUCAAAUACUGGUAAAAAAUUUUCAACACUAUAUUAAAGCAUCGAUAUAUUUAUCCCGAUAUGUUUACUUAACGACUCAUUGCUCGACGCUUUUACAAGUGUCAGUAUUAUUCUUUCCACCACUUUAAAGCAUCGCUAGUUAUUGUUUAAAGUGUCUUUAAGUGCAAGAUUUAUUGUAGUGCUAGAAAGCGAAAGGAAUUGGUAAUGACUCAAUAUUAAAAUUUAUUUAAUUUUAUAUGAUGUUUUAUGU